CCUACGGGUGGCUGCAGUGGGGAAUAUUGGACAAUGGGCGAAAGCCUGAUCCAGCCAUGCCGCGUGUGUGAAGAAGGCCUUCGGGUUGUAAAGCACUUUCAGUGGGGAAGAAAGCCUUGGGGCUAAUACCCUCGAGGAAGGACAUCACCCACAGAAGAAGCACCGGCUAACUCCGUGCCAGCAGCCGCGGUAAUACGGAGGGUGCGAGCGUUAAUCGGAAUUACUGGGCGUAAAGCGCGCGUAGGCGGUCUGAUAAGCCGGUUGUGAAAGCCCCGGGCUCAACCUGGGAACGGCAUCCGGAACUGUCAGGCUAGAGUGCAGGAGAGGAAGGUAGAAUUCCCGGUGUAGCGGUGAAAUGCGUAGAGAUCGGGAGGAAUACCAGUGGCGAAGGCGGCCUUCUGGACUGACACUGACGCUGGGGUGCGAAAGCGUGGGUAGCAAACAGGAUUAGAUACCCCUGUAGUC
rnacentral:rRNA from 1 species